AAAAGCUUUUCGGUGAAUAGCCGGAGGGUUUGAUGGUACCAUUAGAGGAAGCACCGGCUAACUCCGUGCCAGCAGCCGCGGUAAUACGGAGGGUGCAAGCGUUGUUCGGAAUUACUGGGCGUAAAGCGCGUGCAGGCGGUAAGGUAAGUCAGAUGUGAAAGCCCCGGGCUCAACCCGGGAAGUGCAUUUGAUACUGCCUUUCUUGAGUAUGGGAGAGGAGAGUGGAAUUCCCAGUGUAGAGGUGAAAUUCGUAGAUAUUGGGAGGAACACCCGUGGCGAAGGCGACUCUCUGGACCAAUACUGACGCUGAGACGCGAAAGCGUGGGGAGCGAACAGGAUUAGAUACCCUGGUAGUCCACGCCGUAAACGAUGAGAACUAGAUGU
rnacentral:rRNA from 1 species